GAUGAACGCUGGCGGCGUGCCUAACACAUGCAAGUCGAGCGAGAAGCUCAUCACAGAUGCUUCGGUUGAAGUGAUGAGUGGAAAGCGGCGGACGGGUGAGUAACGCGUAGGCAACCUGCCCUUUGCAGAGGGAUAGCCUCGGGAAACCGGGAUUAAAACCUCAUGACACCUCUUAAAGACAUCUUUGAGAGGUCAAAGAUUUAUCGGCAGAGGAUGGGCCUGCGUCUGAUUAGCUAGUUGGUGGGGUAACGGCCUACCAAGGCGACGAUCAGUAGACGACCUGAGAGGGUGAUCGGCCACAUUGGAACUGAGACACGGUCCAAACUCCUACGGGAGGCAGCAGUGGGGAAUACUGCACAAUGGGGGAAACCCUGAUGCAGCAACGCCGCGUGAAGGAAGAAGGCCUUUGGGUCGUAAACUUCUGUUCUAAGGGAAGAUGAUGACGGUACCUUAGGAGCAAGUCCCGGCUAACUACGUGCCAGCAGCCGCAGUAAUAC
rnacentral:rRNA from 1 species